GACGAACGCUGGCGGCGUGCUUAACACAUGCAAGUCGAACGGACUAUCUUACUUCGGUGAGAUGGUUAGUGGCGAACGGGUGAGUAACGCGUAGACAACCUACCUCUAAGAUGGGGACAACAUCGCGAAAGCGGUGCUAAUACCGAAUGAAGUGCCUUUCCCGCAUGGGAGAGAUACUAAAGGUGGCCUCUAUUUAUACGCUACCACUGAGAGAUGGGUCUGCUUCUGAUUAGCUAGUUGGCGGGGUAAUGGCCCACCAAGGCAACGAUCAGUAGCCGGUCUGAGAGGAUGAACGGCAACAUUGGGACUGAGACACCGCCCCAACUCCUACGGGAGGCUGCAGUCGAGGAUAUUUAGCAAUGGACGAAAGUCCGACUAUGUGACGCCGCGUGAGGGAUGAAGGUCUUCGGAUCGUAAACCUCUUUCGAUAGGGAAGAACAUUCUAUUUAAUAAAUAGAACUGACGGUACCUAGAGAAGAAGCCAUGGCCAACUCUGUGCCAGCCGCCGCCGUAA
rnacentral:rRNA from 1 species